rnacentral:rRNA from 1 species
GUUUGAUCAUGGCUCAGAUUGAACGCUGGCGGCAGGCCUAACACAUGCAAGUCGAGCGGUAGAGAGAAGCUUGCUUCUCUUGAGAGCGGCGGACGGGUGAGUAAUGCCUAGGAAUCUGCCUGGUAGUGGGGGAUAACGUUCGGAAACGGACGCUAAUACCGCAUACGUCCUACGGGAGAAAGCAGGGGACCUUCGGGCCUUGCGCUAUCAGAUGAGCCUAGGUCGGAUUAGCUAGUUGGUGAGGUAAUGGCUCACCAAGGCGACGAUCCGUAACUGGUCUGAGAGGAUGACCAGCCACACUGGAACUGAGACACGGUCCAGACUCCUACGGGAGGCAGCAGUGGGGAAUAUUGCACAAUGGGCGCAAGCCUGAUGCAGCCAUGCCGCGUGUAUGAAGAAGGCCUUAGGGUUGUAAAGUACUUUUGUUAGGGAAGAAAAGGCAUUUGCUAAUACCAGAUGCUGUUGACGGUACCUAAAGAAUAAGCACCGGCUAACUACGUGCCAGCAGCCGCGGUAAUACGUAGGGUGCGAGCGUUAAUCGGAAUUACUGGGCGUAAAGCGAGCGCAGACGGUUACUUAAGCAAGAUGUGAAAUCCCCGAGCUCAACUUGGGAACUGCGUUUUGAACUGGGUAGCUAGAGUAUGUCAGAGGGGGGUAGAAUUCCACGUGUAGCAGUGAAAUGCGUAGAGAUGUGGAGGAAUACCGAUGGCGAAGGCAGCCAUCUGGCCUAAUACUGACGCUGAGGUACGAAAGCAUGGGGAGCAAACAGGAUUAGAUACCCUGGUAGUCCAUGCCGUAAACGAUGUCUACUAGCCGUUGGGGCCUUUGAGGCUUUAGUGGCGCAGCUAACGCGAUAAGUAGACCGCCUGGGGAGUACGGUCGCAAGAUUAAAACUCAAAGGAAUUGACGGGGACCCGCACAAGCGGUGGAUGAUGUGGAUUAAUUCGAUGCAACGCGAAGAACCUUACCUACUCUUGACAUCCAGAGAAUUUAGCAGAGAUGC